rnacentral:lncRNA from 1 species
UGAAGGGUCAAAAAGGCAAAGGGUGUUUUAGAAGUUUAGCAGACAGCUUUUGGUACAAGGAAAAGAGAGGGAGAGCUGGAGAGAGGGAAACAGGGUGAAGAGGCAGGAAUCUGGCUCGCAUUAAGCUGGGAGGUUCCAACCAUUGAUUCGCUCUGGAAUUAUGGCUUAAAAAAAUUGCAAGACAUGGUUUAUUCAUGAGGGUUCUUUUUUUUUCUUAAGUAGCCACCCAAAGUUACACUUUGGUUCACCAAGACGAAGACUCAUCCUUCCUCUCUCUAUGGAUCUUUCAGAUGAAGAAAUUAAGGCUCAGGAGGGAGGAAAAAAAUAAAAGAAAGAAUUGUCCAAGGUCACCAAGGCAUCUGGACUCCCAUAUGUUGAGCUACUUCUGCUUGUGGGGCAGCUGCAAUACAUGAAUUCUUCACUACCAACUUAAUAUAAGCUAAGGAAUGCAAAAGAUUGCCAGCAAAUGACCAGAAGCUAGAGGGGAGGCAUGGAACAGAUCUUCUCUCACAGCCUCAGAAGGAACUAGCCCUACUGACAGCUCGAUCUCAGACUUCUAGACUCCAGACUGGUGAGACAACAUAUUUCUGUUGUUUAAGCCACCCAGUUUGUGGCAAUUUGUUACGGCAGACCAGCAAAUGAAUACAGGAUCUCUACAAAAUACACUCACCUUUCAGGCAGGCCAAGAGGAUUGUUUACUGUCAGAGCUCCAAGCCCGGAACUUACUCACACACCAAAAAAGGGGCAUGGAAGUGGGAGCAAGGAUGGAGUCACGAUCCCAAAGUCCCGGAGCAUCUUCUCCACACAUUCAUGAGAGUCAGGCACAGGUUUUUAUCUCAUGCCCACAUUCAGGGGGCCAUCAUCCUGAGCCUGCACCCCCAGAGAAAGUGAGGCCCAGGAAUUUGUGAGUUUGUUGUUGCUUGUGUUACCGAAUAUCCAUGAACUGCAAAAUGGCACCAUGACCUAAUGAAGUAUUAACCCUGCCUCAUCACUGCACAUCAACCAUGAAAGCAGGCUCUUCUUGGCCAGGGCUGUUUCAAGGAGAUUUAGGAAUAUAUUUGAGGCUUCUGAAGGAUAGUUGGAAAUUAGGGGGUCUGCAAAUGGACCUCCAAGAACUCAGGACAGGGGACAUGGACCAGAAGCACCCCCUGAUCUGCCUGGGGUCUCCAACAUACUGUUCUUCCCUCCCACCCCUUUCAAGGGCUAUCCAACGUUGGAAAGAAUAAAAACUCAGAGUCAAUAGAUCUGGGUUUACAUCACAGCUUUACUCAUGAGACAUGAGACAAAUGACUUAGUCCUUCUGAGCCUCAGUUUUCUCCUCUGUAAAAUGGGAAUAAUCAUUGUAGAUGCUUCACAGAGUUGUGAAAACAUAAUGGGUAUCUAUCUAUCUAUCUAUCUAUCUAUCUAUCUAUCUAUCUGGAAUGAAAAUGCACCUGGCUCAUAGUAGACACUUGUUAACUCGAAGCUGCUUUAUUUUUGUUGUUGAUUUCUUAUUGUGAUUUUUUGUGACAUUAAAAGGCAAAGUUUACUUUCAGAGCUCCAAGCCCGAACUAACUCACCCACCAAAAAAGGGGCACGGAGGUGGGAGGGAGGAUGGGGGUAAAACUAAUAGUUGUCAGCCUGAUCCCAUUGAUCUC